AGGGAACACAAUAGAAUCCCCAUCAUAGCGGAGACACAAUGAUGUCCUUUACCCUAGGAGAACGUUGGAUGACACAAAUAGAAAAGGACAAUUUUCACAAUGAAAAAUGUCAAUAUUGUGGGAUAGAAGGCCACAUUGCCAAGAUAUGUUGGUGGAUACUGAAGAAAUCUUCCAACAAUAAAGAAAUCCCACAUGCACUUGCAGCUUUAACUUUUUACAACACUUUAGCAGAAACAGAAUGGACAACCGACACAGGUGCCUCCAACCAUAUGAUAGGACAAUCAGGAACAAAAGACAGGACAAUCAGUAAUCAUAGGGGCUCACAAGGGUGAUCUUUAUGUCCUUCCAACUUCACCAGAACUAUAUUUCUUAACUAUAUUUAAAACAGGUUCUAUUGAAGUAUGACACCAGCAUCAAGAACACCCACAAUUCUUAGCCUUACAAUUGUUGAAAAAUAAGGGCUUGAUAGAUGUAACGGGAAAGUUGAAAUCCGAGCAUCUAUGUGAUAGUUGUCAAUUAGGAAAAAUAAACAGAUUACCAUUCUCAUGUUCGGAAAAUUCUAGCACUAGUAUUUUUGAUAAAAUUCAUUGUGACUUAUAAGGACCUUCUCCUGUUUUAUCUAUUGGCAAAUUUCAAUAUUAUGCAUGUUUAGUAGAUGAUUUUUUUGAAAUAUACAUGGAUUAUACCCUUGUGA